UAGUGGCGAACGGGUGAGUAACACGUGGGCAAUCUGCCCUGCACUCUGGGACAAGCCCUGGAAACGGGGUCUAAUACCGGAUACGAGUUUCACAGGCAUCUGUGAUUCUGGAAAGCUCCGGCGGUGCAGGAUGAGCCCGCGGCCUAUCAGCUUGUUGGUGAGGUAACGGCUCACCAAGGCGACGACGGGUAGCCGGCCUGAGAGGGCGACCGGCCACACUGGGACUGAGACACGGCCCAGACUCCUACGGGAGGCAGCAGUGGGGAAUAUUGCACAAUGGGCGAAAGCCUGAUGCAGCGACGCCGCGUGAGGGAUGACGGCCUUCGGGUUGUAAACCUCUUUCAGCAGGGAAGAAGCGAGAGUGACGGUACCUGCAGAAGAAGCGCCGGCUAACUACGUGCCAGCAGCCGCGGUAAUACGUAGGGCGCAAGCGUUGUCCGGAAUUAUUGGGCGUAAAGAGCUCGUAGGCGGCUUGUCGCGUCGGUUGUGAAAGCCCGGGGCUUAACCCCGGGUCUGCAGUCGAUACGGGCAGGCUAGAGUUCGGUAGGGGGAGAUCGGAAUUCCU
rnacentral:rRNA from 1 species